AUUCGGUUCACUCGGUUCGGUUUUUAGGUAUAUAUGGUUUGGUUUGGUUUAUGAUUUCCGAACCGACUGAAAUCACAAAGCUACACUGUUUUUAUUACCUGUAUGUAUAUAUAUACACACUAAACAUUUAUCUAUUUCCCUAUUUGCUUUCAUUCCUCUUUCUUAGCCACUUCCUUUUUCAUCUCUUUGCAAUGGGUCUCACCCAACCCACG
rnacentral:misc_RNA from 1 species